rnacentral:lncRNA from 1 species
AAAUGCUUUCUCUAGAAAUUGAUGUGGGAUUGUUUGCCCUACAAAUUUGCACUUAAUAAAAGGGGCAUUCUCCAUGAUAAAAUGGCUUGUUGUGACCUUUGUGUCGAUGUGGUGGAAGAUCUUAACAUGUCAUUAUAUUAUGUCCUUUUACUAAGUUAGACAUAUCUUGCAUGACAUCUAAGCAACAUUUCGUUCCUCCUUCCUUGUCGGCUUUGACAUCCUUAUCAGCUAAUGCCCAGGU